UACGAAGGGGGCUAGCGUUGCUCGGAUUGACUGGGCGUAAAGGGCGCGUAGGCGGUUCGUACAGUCAGACGUGAAAUUCCUGGGCUCAACCUGGGGGCUGCGUUUGAUACGUACGGACUUGAGUGCGGAAGAGGGUCGUGGAAUUCCCAGUGUAGAGGUGAAAUUCGUAGAUAUUGGGAAGAACACCGGUGGCGAAGGCGGCGACCUGGUCCGAUACUGACGCUGAGGCGCGAAAGCGUGGGUAGCAAACAGG
rnacentral:rRNA from 1 species